GAUGAACGCUGGCGGCGUGCCUAAUACAUGCAAGUAGAACGCUGAAGGAGGAGCUUGCUCUUCUGGAUGAGUUGCGAACGGGUGAGUAACGCGUAGGUAACCUGCCUGGUAGCGGGGGAUAACUAUUGGAAACGAUAGCUAAUACCGCAUGACAACAGUUAUUGCAUGAUAACUGUUUAAAAGGGGCAACUGCUCCACUACCAGAUGGACCUGCGUUGUAUUAGCUAGUUGGUGAGGUAACGGCUCACCAAGGCGACGAUACAUAGCCGACCUGAGAGGGUGAUCGGCCACACUGGGACUGAGACACGGCCCAGACUCCUACGGGAGGCAGCAGUAGGGAAUCUUCGGCAAUGGACGGAAGGCUGACCGAGCAACGCCGCGUGAGUGAAGAAGGGUUUCGGAUCGUAAAGCUCUGUUGUAAGAGAAGAACGAGUGUGAGAGUGGAAAGUUCACACUGUGACGGUAGCUUACCAGAAAGGGACGGCUAACUACGUG
rnacentral:rRNA from 1 species